GUUUGUCUGACAGGCGCUAGGACCCAGGAGGCAAGGGUCAGGAUAAAUAGGAUAGAUGGGCGAGUCUCGCUUGGGCGACAAGGCUUUGAGAGUUCUGCUCAUGGCUGCAGGGUCAACCAACUUGUUUUCGGGACCCUGGAGCUGAAUGACUUCCCUCUCUGUUGAUGCUCGGCUCAGCCCAGAAGUACAUGAAAAGUGGAAGCUGGUUCUAGGCAAACCAAUGCUGCCAGCUCUGAAGAGUCAGGGGUUGUUAGCCCUUUCCCAGAAAGCUUGACACCCGUGUCUGUAGUCCAGUGGCCACACUAGUCGCUUUCAACUGGCUGACAGGUGCAGGUAUUUAGCCCCCAAAUUCUAAGGAAAAAUAGGACAGAAUAGCAAGCGAAAGGGGUCUGAUGGUACUCACUGCUUGGAGAUAGGCGAUAACCCCUUCGUGGUUGCCAAAAUGUGUCCGGAAUUGGUUCCUUCUGGUGGGUUCUUGGACUCACUGACUUCAAGCAUGAAGCCACAGACCCUUGAGGAGAAUGGCCCGGGAGCAGCUCAGUCCAUGCUUGUCAACCACCCACCUCCAUAUACUCCAGCCCUGGUCCACAUCCCCCAAGGCUCCUUUUGUAGGAUUCCUCAACAGCACAAAUGCACCAACUGUCACUCUAUGUUCUCCUAGACCUACAGGAGGAGUGUGCAGGUGAUAAUCCAGAGGAGGAAGUGUCAUCUAUCAAGGUGGAGUUCACAGCCAAAAAACACCGUACGUAUUCUAAGAGCACUCCCUUGCUGACAACAAAUCUAAGUGAUGAGAAAGGAGGAACUCUCUUGCCUGCUUUUGUCUGGAGACCCUUCCUGGCUUCAGCUUCCUGAUAGGAGUGAGGAUCUGGGGUGUGGUGUGAGAAACAGAAGUCCCAAUAAAGAACUAUGACCAUCCACUAUAGUCUCUGGAAACAGCCAUAUCAUUUAGAUGGUGUGGGUUUGUAUGCAGGAGGGUUGGGAAGUAACUAAGGGUGAGUUAAUGUGUGGUGAUUGUGAAUGUGUUUGUCAAUGUGUGUGUUUCCCCCAGGAAAUGUGGACCCACAUGCACAGCACAGUACAAGUGUCACUUUUCUUGAAUUCCUG
rnacentral:lncRNA from 10 species